GUUUUUAUGGCCUUUCAAAAUCCAUAUCCACCUUGUGUGCAAUGUCAUCUCACUGGAGGUCAACGGCUGUAAAAAUCCGUUUGGUCACCUUUGGGAUUUAUAUCUACUCAGAACUUUAGUGAUUUUGUCUGAAACAUAUUAUGAAUACUUAAUUCAAAAUACAACUUUCAACAACGGAUCUCUUGGCUCUCGCAUCGAUGAAGAACGCAGCGAAAUGCGAUACGUAAUGUGAAUUGCAGAAUUCAGUGAAUCAUCGAAUCUUUGAACGCAUAUUGCGCUCUCUGGUAUUCCGGAGAGCAUGCUUGUUUGAGUAUCAGUAAACACCUCAACUCCCCUUUCUUUUUUUGAAAUGGGAGCUGGACUUGAGUGAUCCCAACGCUUUUCUCACCGAAAAGUGGCGGGUUACUUGAAAUGCAGGUGCAGCUGGACUUUUCUCUGAGCUAAAAGCAUAUCUAUUUAGUCUGCCUAAAAAACAGAUUAUUACCUUUGCUGCAGCUAACAUAAAGGAGAUUAGUUCUUGUGCUGACUGAUGCAGGAUUCACAGAGACAGCUUCGGCUGGCCUUUGUAAACUCGAUCUCAAAUCAAGUAAGACUACCCGCUGAACUUAAGCAUAUCAAUAAGCGGAGGAAAAGAAACUAACAAGGAUUCCCCUAGUAACGGCGAGUGAAGCGGGAUGAGCUCAAAUUUAAAAUCUGGCUGGUUUACUAGUCCGAAUUUGUAGUUUAAAGAAGCGUUUUGGGUGGCAGCCUGGUAUAAAUCCUUUGGACAGGUAUCAUAGAGGUGAGAAUCCGUCUUUGACUCAGUGCAUGCUACUAUGUGAUACGUUUCAAGAGUCGAGUUGUUUGGGAAUGCAGCUCAAAUGGGUGGUGAUUCAUCUUAAGCUAUAUUGCGAGGACCGAUAGCGACAGUACCGUGAGGCAAGAUGAAGACUUGAGAGAGUAACUGCUGAAUUGUGAUGAAUGCUUGACCAGUCAUGCACGCAUCAGCUUUGACAGUGCAUGUGUGGCUCGACCAGGCGCGCUGU
rnacentral:rRNA from 1 species